rnacentral:rRNA from 1 species
GACGAACGCUGGCGGCGUGCUUAACACAUGCAAGUCGAACGGGCCUGUCUUCUUUUUUGGGGGGUGGGUUGAGUGGCGAACGGGUGAGUAUCACGUGAGUAACCUGCCCUUCGGUCCUGGAUAACCGCUUGAAAGGGCGGCUAAUACGGGGUGGUCCGGUUGGUCCGCAUGGGCUGGUCGGGAUAGAUUCACUGUUUUUGGUGUUUCGGCGGGGGAUGGGCUCGCGGCCUAUCAGCUUGUUGGUGGGGUGAUGGCCUACCAAGGCGGUGACGGGUAGCCGGCCUGAGAGGGUGGGCGGCCAGACGGGGACUGAGAUACGGCCCAGACUCCUGCGGGAGGCAGCAGUGGGGGGUAUUGCACAAUGGGCGGAAGCCUGAUGCAGCGACGUCGCGUGAGGGAUGGAGGCCUUCGGGUUGUGAACCUCUGUUUCCGGUGGUGAAGGCCCUGUCCGUGUGGUGGGGUUGACGGUAGCCGGGGAUGAAGCGCCGGCUAACUACGUG